AAUGUUGUCUUGCCUAUUUUUAGUUUACAGAGAGCUGGUUUCCAAUAGAUGAAUGUAGUUUAAGAGAUGAAGACAUCAUCUGUAUCAUCCCUUAUCUCGUAACAGCUCAUCAUUUCUUGAGACUCUGAUGAGUAAAGCAAAUCAAAAGCACGAAUUGCCAGCGCCUGGAAUUUUCCGCUUUGUUGUAUAGCAACAUACUAUGUGAUGAAGAAGUAAGAUCUAGAUAUACAGCAACCUUCCUGGUACAAACAGGAAGAGACUUUGUGGGAUGAAUCAAGCAGGAAACUAUCCAACCAAACCUUAGGAGAGUUCAGUGUGUUACAGCUGCUUCUUCAUCAUUACAUAAUGUCAUUUUUCAGUGAAUGGCGAAGGAUGAUAAACAAAUAGCGGGAGGGAAGGACAAUAAAAUGAAGCAGGAAUAUAAAGCAAUCUGCUAUUUUAAGAGC